GAGAAAUCUUCGACGGCCGUGCGCCUUUGGGCCGCACGCCGUUUCAAUUUCCACACACGUGCACCUUCGACGGGAGUGGGGAAACCCGCCACCCGUCGCUUUCAUUAACCGAUUCAGUCUUGAAUGUAAACCCUUUUAUAAAAAUA
rnacentral:misc_RNA from 1 species